rnacentral:rRNA from 1 species
UACGGAGGGUGCAAGCGUUGUUCGGAAUUAUUGGGCGUAAAGCGCACGUAGGCGGCUCGGUAAGUCGGCUGUGAAAUCCCUCGGCUCAACCAAGGAAGUGCAUCCGAAACUGCCGAGCUUGAGUACUUAAGAGGAUCGCGGAAUUCCCGGUGUAGAGGUGAAAUGCGUAGAUAUCGGGAGGAACACCAGUGGCGAAGGCGACUACCUGGCCUGUUCUUGACGCUGAGGCGCGAAAGCUAGGGGAGCAAACGGG